GGGGCCGCUGGGUGACCCGGCUCCUGCUUGCCCCGCAGCCCCGGCCCCCUGCCCACCAUGAACGCCAGCGGCUCUGGCUACCCGCUUGCCUCGCUUUACGUGGGCGAUCUGCACCCCGACGUGACCGAGGCCAUGCUCUAUGAGAAGUUCUCUCCCGCCGGCCCCAUCCUGUCCAUCCGCGUGUGCCGCGAUGUGGCCACCCGGCGCUCGCUGGGCUAUGCCUACAUCAACUUCCAGCAGCCCGCGGACGCGGAGCGGGCACUGGACACAAUGAACUUUGAGAUGCUCAAAGGCCAGCCUAUUCGCAUCAUGUGGUCCCAGCGAGACCCAGGACUUCGCAAGUCAGGUGUGGGCAACAUCUUCAUCAAGAACCUGGAGGACUCCAUUGACAACAAGGCUUUAUAUGAUACCUUCUCCACCUUUGGGAACAUCCUCUCUUGCAAGGUGGCGUGUGACGAGCAUGGCUCCCGGGGUUUCGGCUUUGUCCAUUUUGAGACCCAUGAGGCCGCACAGCAGGCCAUCAACACCAUGAAUGGGAUGCUGCUGAAUGACCGCAAAGUCUUUGUGGGCCACUUCAAGUCUCGACGGGAGCGGGAGGCGGAGAUGGGGGCGCGGGCCCUGGAGUUCACCAACAUCUACGUGAAGAACCUCCCGGUGGAUGUGGACGAGCAAGGCCUGCAGGACCUCUUCUCCCAGUUUGGGAAAAUGCUGAGUGUGAAGGUGAUGAGGGACAACAGCGGCCACUCGCGGUGCUUUGGCUUUGUCAACUUUGAGAAGCAUGAGGAAGCCCAGAAGGCUGUGGUCCAUAUGAACGGGAAGGAGGUGAGCGGGCGGCUGCUGUACGCAGGCCGGGCCCAAAAGCGCGUGGAGCGGCAGAAUGAACUGAAGCGCAGGUUUGAGCAGAUGAAGCAGGACCGGCUGAGGCGUUACCAGGGUGUGAACUUGUACGUGAAGAACCUGGAUGACUCCAUUGAUGACGACAAACUGAGGAAGGAGUUCUCUCCCUAUGGAGUAAUUACCAGUGCGAAGGUGAUGACAGAGGGUGGCCACAGCAAGGGGUUUGGCUUUGUGUGUUUUUCCUCCCCAGAAGAGGCGACAAAGGCCGUGACAGAGAUGAACGGGCGCAUCGUGGGCACCAAGCCACUCUACGUGGCACUGGCCCAGCGCAAAGAGGAGCGGAAGGCCAUUUUGACCAACCAGUACAUGCAGCGCCUCUCCACCAUGCGGACCUUGAGCAACCCCCUCCUGGGCUCCUUUCAGCAGCCCUCCAGCUACUUCCUGCCUGCCGUGCCCCAGCCAACAUUGGUACUCAGACCACAGGACCCAGUGGGGUAGGAUGCUGUACACCAGGCCGGCCUCUCCUGCCGUACAAAUGUUCCUCAGCAGCACAUAGCACCUAUCGGGUCCAGGAGCCGGCUGUGCACAUCCCUGGACAGGAGCCCCUGACCGCGUCCAUGCUGGCUGCGGCACCCCUGCAUGAGCAAAAGCAGAUGAUUGGUGAGUGGCUGGUUCUCCUACUCUGGAGCAAGAAGAGGAGGGCUGCGAGCUGGCUAGCCUGCUGGGAAACACCCUGAGUGGUGGUCCAACGUGAGGUCAAAGUCCAGCUUUGUCACCGACCCCCCUACUGGGUGACCGUGGCCAAGCUGGCUCUAUUCUCUAGGCACCUAUUCUCUUGUCUUAAAACCCUGGUCAGACUGGAUGGUCCUGAGGUUUCUUCCACUGCUGCUGUCCUAUGACUUUGAGGUUGGGAGACACUCCAGAUGUGGGGAGAUCAGGGGACAAAGGGAGGAGUAGGGGUACGGUCUUGGGUUUCUGCCGAGAAAUGGCCUGUAGGUGGGGGUUAAAGUUCCUCACACCUCUCCUGAACGGGAGGAAGCUGCUGUUCACCAGUUUCCAGUGCUCAAUGCAGGCCGGUGGGGAAUCUGUGUGUUUGGUAAAUACAUGAUGUUUCCCAUAGAUUCUGGAUUCCUUGUGCAAUUCAUCUCCACCCCUAGUGUCCAUGGCAGGUCCUGAUAAAAAUUCCACUAUGUGAACACAAGCUUGUUCCUGGUUGGCAGGUUCUUUACUGCAUGGCCACCAAGACCUCCAGACCCUUCACUGAAGGCCCCCAUUACCACUGCCCCAUUGUUUCCUCAGCUUACUUAGGGUUUUGCCACAUUACCCCUUCCCCUCACCCCGAAAUUUUUUUUUUUUUCCUGAGAUGGAAUCUUGCUCUGCUGCCCAGGCUGGAGUGCAGUGGCACGAUUUCGGCUCACUGCAACCUCCACCUCCCGGAUUCAAGUGAUUUUCCUGCCUCAGCCUUCUGAGUAGCUGGGUUUACAGGCACAUGCCACCAUGACCAGCUAAGUUUUGUAUUUUUAGUAGAGAUGGGGUUUUACCAUGUUGGCCAGGCUGGUCUCAAACUCCUGAUCUCAGGUGAUCCGCCCACCUCAGCCUCCCAAAGUACUGUGAUUACAGGUGUGAGCCACCAUGCUUGGCCUCACCCAGAAACAUUUUAAAUGAGCUUAAUGGAAGUAGAAGGCUUUGUUAGUAGUUCUCUGUAAACAUCUUCACUUUCUUCAUGGGAAGACCCUUUCCGCCCCCACUUAAGGCACCCAGUCCUGGGUGGGCCCUGGACACAUUGCUGAGAUGGGCUGACCACCAAUACCAGGCCCGGUCAUUAAAAGUACCUGAUGUUAGAAGAUCAAGUGUUAAAUGUCAUAGCCUAGAAGGAGCAGUUCUGGGAGAAGAACCCAGAUGUCCUCAGUGCUCCACUCCAUAUGAGCCCUGGGAUGCUGGGGUGUGAGCUAGGCAGUGCACAAGCCAUUAGAGGGUGUUCCACACAGGGGAGCGUCUCUACCCCCUUAUCCAUGAUGUCCACACCCAGCUGGCCGGCAAGAUCACGGGCAUGCUGCUGGAGAUUGACAACUCGGAGCUGUUGCUCAUGCUGGAGUCUCCAGAAUCACUCCAUGCC